UCAGAAAACAAUGUUCUGUGAGCUAAGUA
rnacentral:piRNA from 1 species